GCCUAAAUUUGUUCCCAACUAGGAUAUUUAGGAACAAAGGAGGCAUUUCUCUACACUCUGCACUGUCCCUCCUCUCCUCAGUUCAUCUUGCUGCAUCAAUCAACUGUAUACAAUAGCCUUUACAAUCCUUCUCUCCAGCAAUUCACAACAAUCUAUUGGUUAAGCAACCAUAAAAUCUUGAGAUGGUUUUCUCUCGAGGCAUGAAACGUCCCAUUGGGAUUCUUUAUAAGACGCUGAGCAGUCCCAUGUAUUGUGGGCAAAGUUAUUCUACUUGUGCAUAUAGGGGAAGUUCCAUUGUUGAAGUUGGAGAGAUUAAAAAAUUAUUUUCCUCUAACUAUGCCAAUCCACACCGUGCUUUUGGAAUGUUUUUGAGAAGAUAUGCAGUUGAAGUUCCAGCUUCGGAACAGAUGAGUCUUAUAAAGCAGUU